AUCAACAAAUCACUCUCAGCUCUUGGAAAUGUUAUCAAUGCCCUAACUGCUGCUAAACCAAAUCACGUGCCUUACCGUGACUUGAAGCUUACACGCAUACUUCAAGAUGCACUGGGUGGCAGCUCAAGAGCUGCAUUACUAUG